AGCUCCAGUAGCGUAUAUUAAGUUGUUGCGGUUAAAAAGCUCGUAGUUGGAUUAACAUCUCUGACCUCGGGGAUUACCUAGGUUGGCAAUGUGCAUUCGCUGGAGGAGGUUAACACCUCUCUCAGUGAAUCUUUACUUUGAGGAAAUUAGAGUGUUCUAAGCAGGCUUCUGCAUUGAAUACGUUAGCAUGGAAUAAUAUU
rnacentral:rRNA from 1 species